rnacentral:rRNA from 1 species
UCCUGUCUGAAUAUGGGGGGACCAUCCUCCAAGGCUAAAUACUCCUGACUGACCGAUAGUGAACCAGUACCGUGAGGGAAAGGCGAAAAGAACCCCGGCGAGGGGAGUGAAAAAGAACCUGAAACCGUGUACGUACAAGCAGUGGGAGCACCCUUUGGGGUGUGACUGCGUACCUUUUGUAUAAUGGGUCAGCGACUUAUAUUCUGUAGCAAGGUUAACCGAAUAGGGGAGCCGGAGGGAAACCGAGUCUUAAUUGGGCGUUAAGUUGCAGGGUAUAGACCCGAAACCCGGUGAUCUAGCCAUGGGCAGGUUGAAGGUUGGGUAACACUAACUGGAGGACCGAACCGACUAAUGUUGAAAAAUUAGCGGAUGACCUGUGGCUGGGGGUGAAAGGCCAAUCAAAC